AUACAAACAUAUUAUGCUUAUCACUUGCUUUUCAUCGUAUACACUUUUCGUUAAAGCUUACGUAAACCCUAAAAUCCUCUGCACAUCCUGUCUCUACUCUAUCUCAAGAUCUUGAAAAAACUAAACCCUAACCUCCUCUACGCUACACACCUUCACUGUCGUCAAACUCACAUCUCUUCUAUCUCUCUCCUUAUUCUCUCCGGUUUCUAGCAGCCGUCCGAUACCACCACCUUCGUCAUAAUGCCGCUACAACCUACAAUAGGUCACCGACCAUCCCUUCUCCCGUUAACCUUCUACAUUUAUUUCUCUGUUCAAACCCUAAUCUAGCCACCACCAUUGCACCACUCAUCAAUCACCGACCUCUCUCUCUAUAUCUCUCUCGAUCUUUCUCCCUCUGUUUCUCUGUUCUAAACCGCCAUUACCACCUAAUCAAUGACAAAAGUACAACGUGCAAAUGGGGCACCUAUGUCUCUGCUCAUGGAAAUAGUAAUGAAGAUCCACCUUUUGAAGCCUUAAUCUAGCUACCACCAUCGUACCACUCAUCAGUCACUGGCUACUGUUGCUUCUUAUUCUUCUCUCUCUCUCUCUCUCUCUCUCUCUCUCUUGAUGACAGAGGUUACGAAUGAAUUCCGGCAACCACCAUUGUCAUCUUCUGGUGCUUACAUUCAUCCCUAUUUCUGAGAAAUGUAAAUAAGGCUUAGCCUUACACAGGUUCAUAUUCAAGCAUGUUGGUGGUGCAGAAUGAGCGUCUUGCAAAAGAAUGUGAUGAGUUUGUCAAAUUGUUGCAGCAAGCCCAGCUGCAUUUGGAAAUGAUGGUGUUUAUUUGGAAAAAUACAUCCAAAAUCCAAGGCACAUUGGGUUCCACGUAAGUGAUUUUGUGUUUUUUGUAAUAGUGAACCUGAAAGACCAGUUUUUCCUUACCAACUUGUUGAGUUUCUAACUGCAGCGACAUGCUUAUUUCAGGUUCUUGAAGAUAUAUAUAUAUAUAUUCUACAAUUGAAGAGGAACCAGAAGUUGCUUGAAGAAGUACCCUCGCCUGCAUUAACCCCAGAGCUAAGGAAAGCAAUGGGUGAUGCAGCAAUUGCUACAGCAGCAUCAAUUGGGUACAUUGGUGUUGGUACUGUGGAGUUUCUUUUGGAUGAAAGAGGUCAAUUUUACUUCAUGCAAAGGAACACCAGAAUCCAAGGUUAGUUAAAAAAAAACUAACAAAUUAUAAACUCCAUUUUAUUUUAGAUAAAUUAAUAGAGGAGCAAAUCCAUGUUGCUGUAGGUGAAAAACUUUGUAUGACACAGGUACGAAAUUUAUUUUUCUCAUCUUUUUAUGCAUCAAAAAUAUUUAUUUUAUCUUGAAUUAUCUUUACGAUUAUGUAGAGCAUUUUAGACAUUUCUUGAAAUUAAAGAGGUACCACACAUACUACAUCAAAUACAACUAACUUAUGCUUACCAUUCAAUAAACAAACUACGUUUCAGAAAUUAAUAGUAUUAGAGAUUAACGUUUCAAAAACUAAAUCAAAAAAUUAAAAAUUUAUUCUCUGUCCCUCAACACUCGCAUUUUCUCUCAAACAAAUAGCAAAAAAUCUGAUUAGAAGAGUUGGCAUCACGCCUUAGCCCGACUUAUCGUCCUCACUACCAACGGCUCUCCGACCUCACACCACCCGCAGUAUCUGACCAUAGUCUCCACCAACUGUGUCAGGACUUUUCCAUCAACGACAACCCACCUCUUGAUUUUGAAAGGAGGGCUUGUUUAUUUUGAAAUGUUUUGAAAUUUUCUUUAUCCCUGUGUGAUUUAUGGAACAGCUUAGAAACUGGUUGACAAAAUUUGAAUUGAGAUCUUUUCAAGAACUUGAAUUUUUUUUGAAAUAUCUAUAUCAAUCAUACAUUUCCAAACAAUCUCACUCAGAUUCAAAUCUGUCUCUAUCUUUUUCUCAACACAUUCCUCCUAUCUUCUCCACAAACCCUAGAUCGAACCUAUGGGAGGGGUGUAAAAGAAAAAGAAGGGGUUUUGCUGGAUUUACAACUUGCACUUAUUUUUCUUUAUGCACAGGUGUUCAUAGAGAGUGAGAGAGAGAAAUGUGAUUGGUGGCACUGGUGUAUAAAUCAGGGGAAUCGUCACAAAGUUAUAUGAUCCCCACCCUGCAAAGAUAUCAAUCGGGUGAAACUCUGGUUUUAGUUGGAUCACUUCUUUAACAUUUCACUAUCCAAUCCGGCUAUUUAGCCGAUCUUAAAGGUUCUUGGCCAAUUUUUUUCGAUGUUUUCUUGGGAGAUUUAGUCAAGAGGUGAUUUUCAUAAUGUUUAUGCAGUUUUCUCUUUGUUCUUGAAAUAGUUAGGAAUUGGAUAAAUAACUUACUAUAAUGCAAUUUGAGAAUUGUUCUCCCAGGUAUGCGUUUUUGCUCUUCUCCCUCUCUACUUAUGAUGUUUCCUAUUUUAAAUUAAGACCUAAUGCCACUUUGUAAAUUUCGCUUGUGCACAAUUGUUGUAUUGCUAUCAUAUGUUACUUUGAAGGUUUGAUGAUUUCUAAUUGUUUUCAUUUAAGGGUUUAUGAAGAGAAAAUUAAGAGUGUGGUGUUUCUUUCCCCUUCCAAAGCAAGUUGUGGUUGGUUCAUAUGGGAGUGUGGUGUUUGUCUGAAUGUAAUCAGAACACUAAGGGAAGGAAAAAAUAUACUUUUUUUUAUCUUUUUGUGAAAAAAUUGACCCUGUUAAAUGGUUCUUUCUGUUUCAAGUGAAAAAAAACAAUUAUAUAUAGUGAUAUUUAUGGUUAGAUGCAAGGAAUAAUAAUAAGAAUGUUUAAUUAUACAAA